CCUAGAUGCAUGGGGUUCUGGAGGCAUUGUUGAUGAGGGUCCUGCAGCCUGAAAUGGUUCUGGGAAUGGAACUGGGAUUUGAUGAUCUGGAGGAUGUUUCAUAAGACACUUGUCAAUACAGAGGGUUAGAGUGAUGAGACUUUUGAGGUCAGUGGGCAUCUCCCAGAUGGACAGCUCAUCUUUCAAGUGUUCUGAGAGGCCACGAUGAUAAUGGGACUGCAAUACUUCUGCAUUCCAGCCACACUCCUCCACAGUGUAUUCUGGCACCAAGCAUAAGCCUUGAUGCAAAUAAUACGCUGCCUCCCUUCCACUUCCCUGAUAGUCAGAAACCUGGUGAAACACUCAGCGGCAAGUAGGGAUCUUAUCAUCCCAGUUAGAGACGGCCCAGGUCAGACUGCGCCCAGUCAAGAAAACGAUAACAAAGAUGUCUCAGUUAGUAAAAUACUGGAGCUUAAAGUGCAAGACGCAGUGGGGACAGGAAGUUGCAGCAUCAGGUUAGGGAUCCAUCGAACCAUUCGGGCACCAGAAUCCAGGCUCCAAGGGAGGAGGUUGACCGACACAGAGUUGCUGUAUUGAGACGGAGAGCUAGCUGAGAGUAGUGAGUAGAUGGUCAGUGUUGCUUCUGGACUGUGUGCUCAUGUCAAUGGACAAGUUCCUUCAGGUGAGCAGACUCAUCUGGGUCAAUUGUUGUUACACUCAUCCUGUCAGGAAAUAUAUAGGAGGCUUGACCAAAAGCAGAGCAGCCGAUACGGUGGGCGAUAACUUUAAUAAUAAACUGCAAAAUAACGAGCCAGGAUGGGUCACAAAGCAAGAGGGAACUGGUACUAAAUAUCACAGGCAACAAGGUUUCUGAAGGCUGGUUGAGGCUGGCUGGUUUGGUGAUGUGAAUGAGAGCUGGGUUUAAAGAGGCUGCAGGUGGAAAGUUGGAAACAAGCGGCAGGUGGCUCUUGUUAGACUCAGAGGUACCUGCCUGUGCAGCCCAUGCCACUCUACCCAAGCUCUGUCUUUAAAAAUAAAAUCCUGGUACAGUAUCUCUCCCUGCUUUCACAGAUGCUGCCUAAUAUGCUGUGUUCCUCCACAUUACCACAUCUGCAGUCUACUUUGAAAACUGUAAAUCAUCCACUUUUCCCCUAGUUCUGUGAAGAGUUACUGAGUCGAACCAUUAACUAGUUUCUCUUUCCACUGAUGCUGCUUGACCUGUUCUUCUGGUUUUUUUAUUCUAGCAUUUGCAGUUUUAUUUACUUUCCACUCAUGUUAAUAUAAUUGGUUAAACAUACGAACAUAGCAAAUCGGAGUAGGAGUAGGCCAUCUGUCCCACCGAAUCGUUCCACUAUUGAAUAAGAUCAUGGGUGAUCUGGCCAUGGACUCAACUGAGCCUACCUACCUUUUGCUGAUAAGUAAUACAUACAAAAUGCUGGAGGAACUCGGCAGGUUAGGCAGAGAUCAAUGGAAAGCAACAAAUAGUCGACAUUUUGGGCCGAAACCCUUCAUCAGGACAUAUAACCAAUGAAUCCUCGGCUAUGUAAAUAUCUAUCUAACCGUGACUUAAAUAUAUUUAAUGAGGUAGCUUCUGCCCCUUCACUUGGCAGAGAAUUCCACAGAUUCACUAGCUCCUGGGCAGAAGCAGCUUCUCCUCAUCUCUAUCCUAAAUCCAUUCCUGCAAAUCUUGAGGCUAUGCCCUUUAAGUUCUAGUCUAAUUUACCAGUGGAAGCAACUUUCUUGUCUCUAACUUAUCUAAACAAUUCAUAAUUUUACAACAUCCCCUCUCAUUCUUCUGAGUUCCAGUGAGUAUAGUUGCUAGUGACUCAAUCUUCAACCCCAGAGGAAUAAGGAAAAAUAUGUUUUUGGUCCAUUUUAGUUGAUACAUCAAAUAGUUCUGAAUGGUAUUACUUAUUAACAAACCUACAACAUAAUCAAAGAAGAGAUAUUUUUCAAAUCAAUUUUACAAUUAAAGCAUUAAUCACGAUGAGUACACAUAUCUCUGGUUCCACUAUAAUGAAUCCUUUGCCAUAGACAUAGUGAGUUUCUUGCAAAAAGAUUCAACUGUCAAUCAUCAAAAAAAAAAUCAUCAGAAAAUCUUCUGGGCAAAAUUGGACAGGUACUUGAUUGACUAUGGCAGACCUUCAAGACUCACCAAAACAAAUGAAGAAUUACUUAAAUCUAUAUAUUAAGCCUCAUUGCCGGUUUAAAAUUUUACAUUGGAAACCAGUUAAAAUUCUUCAUUGGAUUCUAAUCUCGGUUUUAGAAGGGCUUUAGAGGCCAACCCUGUCAUCCAAAAUUGUUGCUGUAGGCUCUUCAAGGCAUCUGUGUCUUUCAGAUGAUUUAAAAAUCUAGGUAUGUUCUUGAUACUUUGGUCAUAAUUUCUUUGCCCUAAUUUCCUGACUAGUUACAUUUAAGAACUGGUUAAAUUCCCAUCAUGUAGAAUCAGUAAAUUGCAAUAAAAUGUUCAUGAUUGGGCAUUUUAAAGCAGAGUUUGAUAGGUUCUUAGUUAGUAAGGGCGUCAACAGUUACAGGGAGAAGGCAGGAGAGAAUGGGGUUGAGAGGGACAGUAAAUCUGCCAUGAUGGAAUGGCAGGGCAGAUUUGAUAGGCCAAAUGACCUGAUUCUUCUCCUAUGUUUUUAUGGCCUUGUGUUCUAAUUUGCUUUUGCUAUGUCCCAUUUACUGGCAUUGUCCAAAUGAUGUCCAAAACCGAAAAUGGUUCAGUUCUCCCAAAUGUGACCUUGGUGAGCUCUGUGGGUAUAAAGCUGUUCUUGGGCCCACCUUGGGUGAAGUUAAAAAAAAACCUUCCCAAUAAACUCCUACAUACUGUAUAUAAGUCAUAAUGUAAAGAUGGUUCAUAUUUUGACAUUGACAAAUGUUACAAUAGAUGGCAUGCAGAAUCUGAAAAAUAUGGUUAAAAUUUAGUUAAAGAAACCGCUAAAAAUUUGCCCCUGCAAUAUUUGAAAACAAUUUAAAGCCUACAUGACUUUGAUAGGAUAAGAUCAUCAAACCAUGUUAACCUUUUUAGAUAUGGUAUAUUUUCAAAAUUGUUCCUGCUUUAAUUCACAAUUUCAGCACUUUUCAAGUCUUUGUCCUUCGAAAACUAGACUUUAACAAGCUGAUUAUUCAUCUCAAGUAUAAGAACCAGAUGUGUUAAAUAAAAUAAAAUCAAUUCUAUGACCAACAGUGAAAAAUGCAGAUUUUUAUUUACAGGAUGCCGACAUGAAACAGAAUGCAAUAGAUGUUUCAAAAUAUUUUUUGGACUUUUCGAAAACGUGGUUUGUAUUUUUCUCUUUCAAUUUAGUAACUGUCAUUUUCAUCAACCAAAUCCAUCCUUUUUAAAGUCUCUGUGGAACAUAAUAGGCGCACGCAAUUUUGGAAUAUACAAUUGUUAUCAUCUCGGCGACUAUAGAGGGUGACGUUCUGCAUUAUUUAACGGGACUGCAUAACGUACAGAACUAUUUUACUUUCUCCUCACAUCGACUUCCUUCUGCGUGUGACACUAUUGAACAGUCUGCUGAAAACAAACACUGUUAAGUGGAAAGAAGACUAAGGCUGGUCUAAUUCCCCACUGCAACAUUUUCAAAUGACGAAUGCUUGGUAAAUGGAUUUAGCUUUGAAAGAAAGUCGCACAGAAAUUUGAUGUGGCCUCGUGACCCUGGACGGCAGCGUAAACUCUUCCCUGGCUGCCGUAAGAGUCAAUUUAUGAAAUGCCGACUGGAGAUCCACUUUCUGCAAAAACUGUUCCCAAUUUUCAGACUUUACCGCACGAUGCUCCACCUAGUGCCCCGGCUGAGAACAAGGCAAAGCUCUUAAGUAAUCGAAGAAACAGGGGGAUGCCUGGCUUGUCUGCUUUGCACAAAACUAUUCAUAUGUUUGCAAAGUGAACAGACAUUCAGCUGAGGAAGAGAUGCCAUGUUAAUUCAACUUGAAUGGCCACAGGAUCAUACUAAUUGCUCCAGCCCAGAGACUAUUGGGCAUGAAACGCCUGGAAAAUAUUGGUCAUCCCACGAAGCUGGUGGCAGCCAAGUCCAAGAUUUUUUAUACGGAUCAUGGGUUAAGAGAUCCACUGUAAGUAUGCAAUGCAGCAGCUGUGCACAGAAUUUAAUCAAAUAUGGCCAGAAGAGCGCGCACACUGUGGCUCGGCUUGUGAUGUCAAAGCAUUUUCCAGCUACAGGCUAGUUGUGGGUACAGAUCAUAUGACUGAAGUCACUGCCAGACCUCAUCACUUUUCACAGGGGAAAAAAACUGAUGAUGGCAACACGAUUUAUGUUGAUGACACACUGAUAAAGAAGAUAAAUAUGUGGAUAGGCAAGCUAGCUGUUUAAGAGCGCACAUGAACGAAAUGACACGGUCAGGGCUGACAAAAGUUUUUAGUAUUUUUGUGGGAAAUGUCUUACUGCUCAGGAUCAGAGAAAAAUAUUUAUGGCAGAUUUAACAGUGCAGAAUAAUAUCUUUGUUUGGAUGUUAUGUGCUGUUCUGCUGAGAAUCACUGAAGGCACUCAAAGAAAGGAAACUCAGAGCUGGGACAGGUGACAAGUGAAGCAUCACCUCCUCUGUAAACAAAGGUUAUCUUCUAAGUAUCUGAGUGAUCAGUUUUACAUUAGUGUGAUCAAUUGAAAUUUUGUCAAGUGAUUUGUUAUCAAGCUGUCGAGUAACACUUUAUUGCUGUAUCGCUACAAUAAAAGGAGUUUUUAACACUAAAAGAUGUUUGAAAUUGUCUUAGGUUGGGCAGCAUCUAAUAGAAAAUAAAUUGCAAUCCAUGGAUCACUGUCCGAUUUUUGUUCUCUGUUUCUGAUUUUUCAUUUUAUGCGUUUGAAGCAAUUAUUACUUCUAAUUUCCAGUGAAUGCCGUCCACCAUUUCAUAAAUGCUUAUUCUUCUUUACAUUUUAGACAACUGACCCCAAAACUAGAAGGGGCUUCAUAAUUUCAUAAGAAUGGAAUUUAAUGCAUUUGUAUUAUCAAGACAUGGGCAUAUCAAACAAAUUCUAGUGAGAGCUUGUAUUUAUACAAACACAGACAUGAGCUCAGUGUAUUUCAGUUUAAUUUAUUUUUAUUGCCUGUAAGCUUAUGAUAUUGUUGUCUUUUGCACUUAUGUUGGAACAUAAUAAGAUAAUAAC